AAGCCUUCAUAAUACAUAAUCAAACUUGUAAAUAACUCACCAAUCAAUGCAAUUUGUAAUUAACUUCACAGUAAUAAAGCAUUUUUGAAAUAAUUACUCCCUAACUAUUGUUGACCCAAAAUUAUCAGCUAAUACAGAUAUUAUGCCAUUCGAAUUGGUUAACUAGUUGGUAUUACAAGAGAGGAUUAUGGUAAAACAGAUCUCACUUCACAAAAAGGGAAUUAAACUAUCAAAGAGUUAACGGGCCAAUCAAAUGUCCAACAUACUACUAUGAAUUAACAAUCUAAUUAGCCUAUUACAGACAACUUUAAUCAGCAGUUAUAUUAACAACUUCGGGUGAACCCAAACGAGCAACUCUGUGCAUAUAUUCCAUAGGCUGUUUAUACAAAUGAAUCCAACAUCCAGGCCAUGGAGCAAGGAUAAUGUAUCUGGGCUUGCGAUGAAACAAAGAGAAGAAAGAGGAUAGUAAUUGCAUAGCAGUAGCAACAUGAGUCAGCAAUAGGAAUCAGCAGUUGAAUCAACAGCUCAAAAUCACGUGCAAACUCCAACAAACAGUGUCAAAACCCAGGAAAUGAUUUGCAGCAAUUCAGAAAACGAACAAACACACAAUAGAUCUUACUGAACCCAAAUAGACUUGAAACUGGCCCAGGAAUUUAAAAAAAUGACACAUUCAGCAAUCAAACCUUGAACUAGAGAUGUAAAUCAAACUCUAAAGGUCGAAAUUAACCCUAGAUUUUCAGAAUUUUAGUAGCCAAAACCAGAGAUCCUCACGUUUGCUUUUAGCUUAUAGAAAUCAGAACUUCAAACUACACUAAACUAGGGAAAAGCUUUAUUAAGCAUUAUUUUUUUUUUGGGAUUUUUUUGAAGGCUUUUUUUUUUGGCUUUUGAAUUAGAAGAUUAAUGCAGAUGAUUAAAACUAGAAUGGAAAAAAUAUUUGGUACUUAGAAUGGCUACAUAAAUCUGGCUAAAAGUAGCUAAUCAGUAGGAAAUUUUUGCUGAAAAGAAGANNN
rnacentral:lncRNA from 1 species